rnacentral:rRNA from 1 species
CACGUAGGGCGCAAGCGUUGUCCGGAAUUAUUGGGCGUAAAGAGCUCGUAGCGGUCUGUUGCGUCCGCUGUGAAAACUCGGGGCUUAACCCCGAGCCUGCAGUGGAUACGGGCAGACUAGAGGUAUGCAGGGGAGAACGGAAUUCCUGGUGUAGCGGUGAAAUGCGCAGAUAUCAGGAGGAACACCGGUGGCGAAGGCGGUUCUCUGGGCAUGUCCUGACGCUGAGGAGCGAAAGUGUGGGGAGCGAACAGG